UAAUCACUUCCUCCGUCCGGAAUUACUUGUCGCUCAAACGGAUGUAUCUAGAUGUAUUUUAGUGCUAGAUACAUCCGUUUGAGCGACAAGUAAUUCCGGGCAGAGGGAGUACCAU
rfam:Triticum aestivum genome assembly, contig: Triticum_aestivum_CS42_TGACv1_scaffold_591851_7BS